CGGUACAGGGGAGACUUUGUCAAAAUUUUUCGGUAGGGUUUUCCUAGAGAUUUUUAAUAAACCGGUUAAGUAGAGUUAGUAGAUAAGUAACGGUCACCCUUAGGGAGUAGUAAGAAGGGUGAUCGUUUCAAACAAUGACACAAUUUUACUUUCUCUUGCAAACAUUUCCUAAAGCUGCAUGCAAUUGCUUAAUAUACAAGUAUUGUAUCUCUAGUUUUAGAAGCUAAACUCAUCUUUCUGAUCUAAAGGCACCCUGUGAAGCAGAAGCUCAAUGCACAGCUCUUUUCAAAAGUGACAAGGCGUUUGCGGUUGCCUCAGAAAACAUGGAUACUUUAACUUUUGGGGUACCAAGGUUUCUCCAUCAUUUAAUGGAUCCUAGUUCCAAAAAAAAUCUCUGUGAUGAAAUUUGACGUUUCAAAGGUUCUUGAAGAGCUAAGACUCACUAUGGAUCAGUUCAUUGAUUUGUGUAUUCUCUCUGGAUGUGAUUAUUGUGAUAACAUUAAAGGUCGGGCAAUUCGUGAGGCUUGAGUUUUUUUGAUGCAAGAAGUGAGUUUUGUUAGGAUGU